rnacentral:rRNA from 1 species
AUUGAACGCUGGCGGCAGGCCUAACACAUGCAAGUCGAGCGGAGCGGCGGACGGGUGCGUAAUGCCUAGGAAUCGGCCUGGUAGUGGGGGAUGACGUCAGGAAACGGGCGCUAAUACCACAUACUAUCAGAUGAGGCUCGGUCGGAUUAGCUAUUUGGUGGGGGAAAGGCCUACCACGGCGACGAUCCGGAACUGGUCUGAGAGGAUGAGCAGUCACACUGGAACUGAGACACGGUCCAGACUCCUACGGUAGUCAGCAGUGGGGAAUAUUGGACAAUGGGCGAAAGCCUGAUCCAGCCAUGCCGCGUGUGUGAAGAAGGUCUUCGGAUUGUAAAGCACUUUAAGUUGGGAGGCGUUACCAUCAGAAUAAGCACCGGCUAACUUCGUGCCAGCAGCCGCGGUAAUUC